GCAGAAGAAGAAACCACACCUUUCGUAACAGUUCGGGUGAGGCAGGAGGCCCAGUGAUGGGAGAGGGAGAAAAAGAUGGCGUUUGGAGGAAAUUUGCGGCCUGAAACUGGUGCAUCUACCAUCAGACCAGCUCGGCCGUUUCUACAGUAGGUGGCCCACCACCGCCGCGCCUCUGCCUCUACGCACCUGCUUGGUGUGGAAAGAUUCCACAGGGCUCUGGUUCCACCUUGCCUGACACAAACGAGGAAACCCGAGCCACCAGCCGGAAAAACGAGAGCCACGCUUCCUCAAAAAAGGUUGACUGCACGCACAUUGACAACUGACUGUGUGUUGAGGAACCCAAGUAGUGGAAUAGCCAUGUGAUAAGAAUAACUGGAAUGGUUAGAAAAGUUAGAACACAGACCUCCACCAGGUACUGUUAACAGCAGUACAAAGUGAAAAACAAACAUUGCUCACUGCCAUAUUUGUAUGUUAGCAAGCUACUUCUUUGUUCAUGGAGGAUGAUGGACAGGAUGACAGGACUGUACUAUUUUUUUAUUUAACAUUGAGAAUAUUUAAUAUGUCAUCCUUCACUCUGUGAAGUCGUGGAAUUGCCGUUUGUGACGUGUAUUUUCUCACCGGCAAUUUGUGCUGUCAGAUGUUUGCAGCAUUUCUUUAAAUGCUGGCUUUUCAACUGUACAUUCCUUUGGCGAUGUAUUAAAGUAGGCUCUCUGUGAACGCAAACCAUUUUGUGCUGCUCCGUUCCGUUUGUAUUUACUUUGCUGAUCAAACUAGUGAUGUGUCGGUAGCGAACGAAUCGGCUCUAGGAGUCGUCUCUUUGAAAUGAAUGACUUUUUUGUACUCUUUGUGCUUUUGUACGCAUUUUGACCCUUGAAUAUGCUUCGCUGUGCUCCAGGUGCACGUUUUGUUGCAUUUCACCGGUUUCAAUUUUGAUUUCAGUCCGUGAAAUCGGGAUUGAAACCUUACUGUGUCGAGGCGUCAUCUUAGCUAAACCAGCUCGCUCCUCUCCCUGCAAUCCCCUUUGUGUAACAUUAACGGCACCUCCCAAAAAAAGCGAACUUCCUGGAAGAGCCUUAUUUCCUGCGUGCAUACGAGGUGUUCAGAGGUUCACCUACGAUAUCGGAUCAACAUUUGCAGUAAAAAGGGCUGUUGUAAGGGAUCAGUCGGUUUCUGCCGGGAUAACACGAAGGAAGCUACCAAGUUGAUACUAAUAACUAAUAGUUAAUGUCUUUAACAUUCUUUAACAUUUUUUUAGCCUUCUUAGAAAAAUAAAAGG